rnacentral:rRNA from 1 species
UGCAGUCGAGCGAACGGAUAAGGAGCUUGCUCCUUUGAAGUUAGCGGCGGACGGGUGAGUAACACGUGGGUAACCUACCUAUAAGACUGGGAUAACUUCGGGAAACCGGAGCUAAUACCGGAUAACAUUUAGAACCGCAUGGUUCUAAAGUGAAAGAUGGUUUUGCUAUCACUUAUAGAUGGACCCGCGCCGUAUUAGCUAGUUGGUAAGGUAACGGCUUACCAAGGCGACGAUACGUAGCCGACCUGAGAGGGUGAUCGGCCACACUGGAACUGAGACACGGUCCAGACUCCUACGGGAGGCAGCAGUAGGGAAUCUUCCGCAAUGGGCGAAAGCCUGACGGAGCAACGCCGCGUGAGUGAUGAAGGGUUUCGGCUCGUAAAACUCUGUUAUUAGGGAAGAACAAAUGUGUAAGUAACUGUGCACAUCUUGACGGUACCUAAUCAGAAAGCCACGGCUAACUACGUGCCAGCAGCCGCGGUAAUACGUAGGUGGCAAGCGUUAUCCGGAAUUAUUGGGCGUAAAGCGCGCGUAGGCGGUUUCUUAAGUCUGAUGUGAAAGCCCACGGCUCAACCGUGGAGGGUCAUUGGAAACUGGGAAACUUGAGUACAGAAGAGGAAAGUGGAAUUCCAUGUGUAGCGGUGAAAUGCGCAGAGAUAUGGAGGAACACCAGUGGCGAAGGCGACUUUCUGGUCUGUAACUGACGCUGAUGUGCGAAAGCGUGGGGAUCAAACAGGAUUAGAUACCCUGGUAGUCCACGCCGUAACGAUGAGUGCUAAGUG